AACGAACGCUGGCGGCGCGCCUAAUACAUGCAAGUCGAGCGAGAAGACGUAGCAAUACGUUUGUAAAGCGGCGAACGGGUGAGGAAUACAUGGGUAACCUACCCUCGAGUGGGGAAUAACUAGCCGAAAGGUUAGCUAAUACCGCGUACGCUCCUUGGACUUCGGUUCAGGGAGGAAAGCGAUACCGUGGGUAUCGCGCUCUUGGAUGGGCUCAUGUCCUAUCAGCUUGUUGGUGAGGUAACGGCUCACCAAGGCUUCGACGGGUAGCUGGUCUGAGAGGACGAUCAGCCGCACUGGCACUGCGACACGGGCCAGACUCCUACGGGAGGCAGCAGUAAGGAAUAUUGCGCAAUGGGCGAAAGCCUGACGCAGCGACGCCGCGUGGGGGAUGAAGGUCUUCGGAUUGUAAA
rnacentral:rRNA from 1 species